rnacentral:rRNA from 1 species
UUCUCUGGUUGAUCCUGCCAGAGGUCACUGCUAUCGGGGUUCGACUAAGCCAUGCGAGUUGUGUGUUCUUCGUGAGCACGGCAGACUGCUCAGUAACACGUGGACAAUCUGCCCUUAGGUCCGGGAUAACCCCGGGAAACUGGGGAUAAUACCGGAUAGGUCAUAGAUGCUGGAAGGCUUUAUGAUCCAAAGUUCCGGCGCCUAAGGAUGGGUCUGCGGUCUAUCAGGUUGUAGUGGGUGUAAUGUACCUACUAGCCGACGACGGAUACGGGUUGUGAGAGCAAGAGCCCGGGGAUGGAUUCUGAGACACGAAUCCAGGCCCUACGGGGCGCAGCAGGCGCGAAAACUUUACAAUGCACGAAAGUGUGAUAAGGGGACCCCGAGUGUUGGUGCCUAGCAUCAACUGUCCAACUGUCUAAAAAACAGUUAUUAGCAAGAGCCGGGUAAGACCGGUGCCAGCCGCCGCGGUAACACCGGCGGCUCGAGUGGUGACCGCUAUUAUUGGGUCUAAAGGGUUCGUAGCCGGCUUAGUAAGUUCUUUGGGAAAUCUGGCGGCUUAACCGUCAGGCUGCCGAAGGAUACUGUUAGGCUUGAGACCGGGAGGGGCUAGAGGUACUUCAGGGGUAGGGGUGAAAUCCUGUGAUCCCUGUGAGACCACCAGUGGCGAAGGCGUCUAGCUAGAACGGGUCUGACGGUGAUGAACGAAAGCUAGGGGCACGAACCGGAUUAGAUACCCGGGUAGUCCUAGCCGUAAACGAUGCGAGCUAGGUGUCACGGUAGCU